CUCUUAGUUUUGUCUACAUUUUGGCUGUUGUUGUAUAUGUAUUUAGCCAUAGUUAAGUUCAUGAACUGUAGUUUGUUCUCACUUCACUGACAAAUUGUGUCUAGUUCUAAUUUUGUACCAUCUCAGUCAUGGAAGUGAUGUGGCUGAUCACUGGAUUGAUUCAAGGGCU